rnacentral:rRNA from 2 species
UACGGAGGGUGCAAGCGUUAUCCGGAUUUACUGGGUUUAAAGGGUGCGUAGGUGGGUUGGUAAGUCAGUGGUGAAAUACUUUCGCUUAACGAAGGAACUGCCAUUGAUACUACCAGUCUUGAAUACAGUGGAGGUAGGCGGAAUGCGUCAUGUAGCGGUGAAAUGCUUAGAUAUGACGCAGAACACCAAUUGCGAAGGCAGCUUGCUACACUGUUAUUGACACUGAGGCACGAAAGCGUGGGGAUCAAACAGG